CUGAUAUUACUAGGUGAACGACAAGGUAAUCAUCAAAAGUGGAUGGUCAGCAUUGAAUCCUUAAUCGUUUGUGAAGGGUCCAACCUCGCCACAUUUCUAACAGGGAUUGCGACAUGUUUCUCCACCUUCUAUAUUCUGAAUCUGCAAUAUCAGGAGGAGGCAGCGUGCACCCUUGAAUUCUUCCAGAGAAAAAGGCCCAGAAGAAGCCUAAGAACAAUCACUAAUAAGUAAAGUGAAUGUUACUUGAUUUCUCAUGAAUGUUACUUGAUUCCCUCCCUGAUUAUCAUUUAUACUCAUCUCUUACUUUAAAUUCUUCUGGACAUAAUCUGUCAGUUUAUUCAUUCUCACAUGUACACAAGGCCAAUGCGAUGCAAUGAUAUUGAUAAUUGAUAAAUAUCUGUGAUGAUUAUUCUGUAUCUUAUUUGAUUUUGAAAUAGUACUACUUUAGAUAACAUGUCUACAUUUUACAUACAUAUGUGAUACACAAGCCUAAUGCAAUGUUUUUAUUUUCCAUGAUAAUUCUUUUGUACCUUAUUUCCGAUUUUUGAAAUACAACUAGAUCACGUGUCUACAUUUUACA